GGGCUAUAGCGCAGUUGGUAGCGCGCUACAUUCGCAUUGUAGAGGUCAGGGGUUCGAAUCCCCUUAGCUCC
rnacentral:tRNA from 1 species